rnacentral:rRNA from 1 species
AGCAAUAUGCUACUUGCAUCAUUGUAAAUAUGAUGCAAGAUCGACUAUGUCGAAUAAAAUUCUAGGUAGAAUUAUGAUAAUGACAUUGUCUGCCUAUGUGUCUUGACCAAAUUACGUGCCAGCAGUCGCGGUAAUACGUAGAAGACUAGUGUUAUUCAUGUUUAAUCGGUUUAAAGGGUACCUAGACGGUAAAUCAAGCCUAAAAGGAAAUAAAUGAAGGGACUAAUUUACUAGAGUUACUUAUGAGGGGGUAUUAAAGUACUGCUGGUGUAGAGAUGAAAUUCUGUCAUACCUCUUUUCAAUAGAAAAACAAUGGCACAGGUAUAGGCGAAAGCAUCCCCUUAUGUGAUAACUGACGUUGAGGGACGAAGGCUUUGUGUAGCGAACAGGAUUAGAUACCCCAGUAGUCAAAGCAGAAAAUGAUGAAUGUCAUAGAUUAGAUAUAUAAAUUUAUUCUAUAAAUGAAAGUGUAAGCAUUCCACCUCAAGAGUAAUUUGGCAACAUUGGAACUGAAAUCAUUAGACCGUUUCUGAAACCAGUAGUGAAGUAUGUUGUUUAAUUUGAUGAUCCGCAAAAAACCUUACCACAAUUUGAAUAUUUAUAUCUUUUAUUGUUUUUCUUUUUAACUUUCUUCUGAUUUUCUACUUAAAAGAAAACAAUAACAAGAAAAAAUAGGCAAUAAGA